AUGGCAGCGGCACGCGGCGGCGGAUCGGCGGCGAGGGUCGGCGACUGGGACGUCGAGCUCGGGCCCGGCUGGGACUGGCGCUCCAUCCCGCAGCUGCUCUCCUCCGCCUGCAUCUUCAUCUGCUCCGGAGGCUGUUUUGGAUGCUGUGAGAAGGCCGCAAAACACGUAGGCGAUCUUUCCAAGAGCUUAAUGGCCCAUGCCCAGAAUCCCACGGUGGCAGAGGAAUUUUGGAGUACGACCACCAUCGAGGUUGAUCCGGCAGACCUACGAGCACCAUACAACACAUCCUCUUGGGACCUUGAUCUGCAUGGAGUGGGAAGCAGCCAUAACCUGGGCGACUCUGCUAAUCAUGGUUUUUCUCUUUGGCAACAAACUAGGGAUGAGUGGACUGAGAAUACAAGGUUAAGGCAAGAACCUGUGGUGAAGCAGAUCCAGGAACCAGUGUUGAGUUGGAAUGCAGCGUAUGAAAGUUUGCUUGGAUCAAAUAAACCAUUCCCUCAGCCCAUCCCUCUACAUGAGAUGGUUGAUUUCCUCGUGGACAUCUGGGAGCAAGAGGGACUGUAUGACUAG
rnacentral:rRNA from 1 species